CCAAACUUGGUCAUUUAGAGGAAGUAAAAGUCGUAACAAGGUUUCCGUAGGUGAACCUGCGGAAGGAUCAUUAUUGAACAAUCAAAAACAUGUAGUCUUGGUUGUAGCUGGCCUCACAAGGGCAUGUGCACGCUAAGCUACGUUUUGUUCUCCAUCCACCUGUGCACACUUUGUAGGCUCACAAGUUGUUGCUCGUCUGAAAAUGGCGGUCUAAAGGAGAUGUCGAAAAUCUCCUCUGAACUCUUGUAGCCUAUGCUUUCACAUACACCAUAUGCAAGUUAUAGAAUGUCAGGUUAUAAACACAAAUAUAACUUUCAGCAACGGAUCUCUUGGCUCUCGCAUCGAUGAAGAACGCAGC
rnacentral:misc_RNA from 1 species